GCAGAUAUAGCUCAGUUGGUAGAGCGCUUGCCUCAUAUGCAUAAGGCCCUGGGUUCAAUCCCCACCAACCCCC
rnacentral:tRNA from 1 species